AGGCCCACAGGGACUCCUGGCUGCAGUGCUGACCGAGAUGGCCCCUCCCUAAAGGAGCCUGUCUCUGAAUACUUCUAGGUCCUGGAACCACUGACAGCCUCUGACUUAUGAUCUCACUCCUCAUUCCAAGGCCAGCCGCUGUGGCUGUAUCUCUUUUCCUCCAGAGCCUCUGAGUCUCUCUUACCAACCUGCUCCAGUUAUCCAUGACAACCUCCAGUCCUUUUCUUGGCAAUGACCACAGUCGGUAAGGGCCGCAAGAUCUCGGUCGGCCAUGAUCACAAGACCACGGUCACCAAGGGCCACAGGAUCUCACUUGGCAAUGACCACAGGACCAUAGUCACCAACGGCCUCAGGACUACGGUUGGCAAUGACCACAGGAACAAGGUCACCAAGGGCCACAUGACCUCAGUCGGCAAUGACCACAGGACCAUUGUCACCGAUGGCGUCAGGACCACAGUUGGCAAUGACUACAUGGCCAUUGUCCCCCGAUGACUACAGGACCACAGUUGGCAAUGGCUACAGGAUCACGGUCUACAAUAACAACAGUCAACAAUGACCACAGAACCACAGUCAACAAUGACCACAGAACCACAGUCAGCAGUGGAAACCUGAAGUCCUUUUCUGCUAUGUAAAGAAGCAAGCAUGGAUUCUAGCAUUGAGGUAGGACAUCUGUAGUGGCCACUGUUCUUCUGAAUGUUCCAGGGUUCUCCUCUUUUUCUUUUCAGACUUGUCACCUCCAGGAGCCUAAUGGGACAGAAGGACAAAAUAGGCUGUGUUGUUAUCUUUCUUGCUAUUCUUCUGCAAGGUGGCACUGUAUGCAAAGCUUACCUGUCAUCCUGGAAGUACCUAGCUAAAGCUGCCCACAUUCCCCAGAUGGAAACUAAGGAAGGCACAAAAUCAGAUAGCAGGACACGAAAUGCACAGACAAAUCUUCCCAUCCUGGUCCUCACCUGGCCACUGUGACCCUAUAUGUGUGUCAUUUUUAGGUAGUUCUCAUCCAAAUCCAAGAGCCACCCUUCCUCAGAGGGUACAAGAGCAUUUCAAAAAGAACUGAAUAAAGGCCCUGGACAGGAGGGAAGUAGCCUCAACUCCUAGUCUGCCCUUGGCA
ensembl:lincRNA 1700009J07Rik RIKEN cDNA 1700009J07 gene